AUUUUGAUGGGUGUUAAACUUUCACUCAAAGCCUGCCAGGAGCUGGGUCUUUAAAAUAACCGCCGUCUCAUUACAGAGUGAAAGUAGCAGUUCCUCCUUAAGGUCAGAGAUUGCAACAUCUGAGGGCCUCUUCAAAAGAAGACGUAGUUGAUGAAGGCGUUCUGGAGCAGGACCAGAAAGACCACGACCAAGCAGCCUUGGAAUCUUAGGCAGCAUCUCCCUCAGUUCUGCUGGGCCAGCUCAGCUUCCCCUCAGAAGAAGUUCUGCCACCUGCCAGAUGAAGGAGCCUUUUGAGA
ensembl:lncRNA